rnacentral:RNase_P_RNA from 1 species
UGAGUCCGCUGGACAAUCGUCGCCCUGCAAGGGGGGGAGGAAAGUCCGGGCUCCACAGGGCAGAGUGCCAGAUAACGUCUGGGAGGCGCGAGCCUACGGAAAGUGCAACAGAAAGUAUACCGCCUAAGUCCGCAAGGACCGGUAAGGUUGAAAUGGUGCGGUAAGAGCGCACCGCGUGGGUGGCAACACUCCACGGCGAUGGUAAACCCCACUCGGAGCAAGACCAAAUAGGAACCCAUUAGGCGUGGCCCACGCUGGGUUCGGGUAGGUCGCUUGAGGUCAGUGGUGACGCUGACCCUAGAUGAAUGAUUGUCCUCGACAGAACCCGGCUUACAGGCGGGCUCAGCCC